CUAAGGAAUAUUUCCGGCAAUGGACGAAAGUCUGACGGAGCGACGCCGCGUGGAUGAUGAAGGCCGGAAGGUUGUAAAAUCCUUUUAAGUAUGAGGAAUAAGCAGUGUGAGAGAAACGCAUUGUGGUGACUGUAGUACUUGAAUAAGCAACGGCUAAUUACGUGCCAGCAGCCGCGGUAACACGUAAGUUGCGAGCGUUGUUCGGAAUUAUUGGGCGUAAAGGGCAUGUAGGCGGUUUUGCAAGCUUGGUGUGAAAUGCCGGAGCUUAACUCCGGAACUGCGUUGAGAACUGCAUAACUAGAGUCACUGAGGGGCAAUCAGAAUUCCAGGUGUAGGGGUGAAAUCUGUAGAUAUCUGGAAGAACACCGAUGGCGAAGGCAGGCUGCGAGCGGACGGCUGACGCUGAGGCGCGAA
rnacentral:rRNA from 1 species